UACGGGGGGAGCAAGCGUUGUUCGGAUUUACUGGGCGUAAAGGGCGCGUAGGCGGUCAGCACAAGUCAGUUGUGAAAUCUCCGGGCUUAACUCGGAAAGGUCAACUGAUACUGUGCGACUAGAGUGCGGAAGGGGCAACUGGAAUUCUCGGUGUAGCGGUGAAAUGCGUAGAUAUCGAGAGGAACACCUGCGGCGAAGGCGGGUUGCUGGGCCGACACUGACGCUGAUGAGCGAAAGCGUGGGGAGCGAACAGG
rnacentral:rRNA from 1 species